ACAGAGACUGCAAGCGUUAUUCGGAUUCACUGGGCGUAAAGGGUGCGCAGGCGGUUUUGUGUGUCAGGUGUGAAAGCCCGCGGCUUAACCUCGGAAUUGCGCCUGAAACUACAAGACUAGAGUACCCGAGAGGAUAGCGGAAUUCCCGGUGUAGCGGUGAAAUGCGUAGAUAUCGUGAAGAACACCAGCGGCGAAGGCGGCUAUCUGGAAGGUAACUGACGCUCAGGCACGAAAGCGUGGGGAGCAAAAGG
rnacentral:rRNA from 1 species